AAUACUGUUUGUUUAUAAUUAUAUUGUUUAAUUAGUAAUAAUUAUUAUUUUAUUAUUGACGUUUGUUGUUUGUCUCAGAUUGUAAAUAUUGUUCUCCAAGGCUUUGAGGAGGAAAUUGAAUGUAACGUGGGUUGUGUGGCUACCUUAGCUUUCAGUCAUUUCCUUACUUUGUUGAAUCAACGUGUGCAUCUUCCAUUUAACUUUACUGAGUGGAACGUUGUAAUUGAAGAUGUGCCUCAUUUGCUCAAUGAUACAUUGUUUAAGGAUAUUCAGAACACGUCACAGAAGUUUACUAUCACCCCAACUGACUUACCGGGUUACAAUAUAACUUUAACCUAUCUGUUACAUGAGCUACGUAAAGUUGAACCGAACUGCGUAAAAAAGGCGUUGCGUGGCAUCAAUUAUGUCUUGGCUUCAUCCAAGUUGAAGAAGAAAUUAGUUUCGAGAAGAGUAGGUGGUUGCAGUGUUUACUCUCUCGUUUCCGACCAACGGUGAGAAUGAAGAUGUUCAAGGGUUGGAAGCAGUAUUUGACGGGGUGAUGUUGUUAUAGAGGGCUGUGUAAUGGUUGCUGACGUAAGAUACCAAUUAAUUUGCGGGUUUCAGUUUUAUAUGCAAACUAAGUCUAAGUCUCUCUUCGUACUUGCUGGGCACAGUGGAAGUGUGAUAUCUGGAAGUGAUGUAAUUCUCCUGAAUUCUCUCUAUCAGUCUCAGCAUCCACUGGGAAACAUGUUCAGUAUUUGACGGAGUGAUGUUGUUAUAGAGGGCUGUGUAAU